CAAUGAUUCGUUGCAAUGAACAUUUGCAGGUGAAGAUGUGUGGAUGGAAGAAUACACCGUGGGAGACUGACAUACUACAGCUUUCACGGGAAACCAUGGCUUCCACCCCCAAACUGUGAUGAACUCCAAGACAACCCUCUGCUGUAUCUCGCCUGUAAAUCAUUGAACUUCAGACCUACGUGAAAUUCCAUCUCACACGUUUUUAAUGAGUCAAAAUAAAUGCCAUUAUUGAACAGAAGCCAAAGAUCACAAGAGGUUAGAAAUGGAACAGGAACACUGCCCACGCUGUUUGUUUGGCUUCUGACGCAGCUUUCCUGUGAACAGUUCCUUAAUGGGAGGGCAGGGAUGGUCCUCCCUUGCCGGUGGGCAUCUGCUGCUGAUUAUACAGCAGUCGGAAUGGCUACACGGUGCCUAGGAAACUUGAGACGAUAAUGAGGACUCAGGCAAGUGAGAGGCUGAAACCACAAGAGGCAGAGAUUCCCCCCGACCCGGGUAAGAGCUUUUCCCCCUAAAGACCUGCCAUUUGCCCUUGAAAGUAUGUUCAGAAAAAAAACCUAUAAUAAAUCAAAAUAUCUUUCUA